CGCGGGGUGGAGCAGCCUGGUAGCUCAUCGGGCUCAUAACCCGAAGGUCGGCGGUUCAAAUCCGUCCCCCGCAACCA
rnacentral:tRNA from 2 species